UGAGGAAUAUUGGUCAAUGGACGAGAGUCUGAACCAGCCAAGUCGCGUGAAGGAUGAAGGUCUUAUGGAUUGUAAACUUCUUUUAUACGGGAAUAAAAAAUACCACGUGUGGUAUAUUGCAUGUACCGUAUGAAUAAGGAUCGGCUAACUCCGUGCCAGCAGCCGCGGUAAUACGGAGGAUCCGAGCGUUAUCCGGAUUUAUUGGGUUUAAAGGGUGCGCAGGCGGUCUUUUAAGUCAGCGUUGAAAGUUUUCGGCUCAACCGGAAAAUUGGCAUUGAAACUGGAAGACUUGAGUGUAAAUGAAGUAGGCGGAAUUCGUUGUGUAGCGGUGAAAUGCAUAGAUAUAACGAAGAACUCCGAUUGCGAAGGCAGCUUACUAACAUACAACUGACGCUCAUGCACGAAAGCGUGGGGAUCAAACA
rnacentral:rRNA from 1 species